UACGAAGGGGGCUAGCGUUGCUCGGAAUUACUGGGCGUAAAGCGCGCGUAGGCGGAUCUGCAAGUCGGGGGUGAAAUCCCGAGGCUCAACCUCGGAACUGCCUUCGAUACUGCGGGUCUCGAGUCCGGGAGAGGUGAGUGGAAUUCCUAGUGUAGAGGUGAAAUUCGUAGAUAUUAGGAAGAACACCCGUGGCGAAGGCGGCCCACUGGGCCGGUACUGACGCUGAGGCGCGAAGGCGUGGGGAGCGAACGGG
rnacentral:rRNA from 1 species